rnacentral:snRNA from 14 species
GGUUCUUGCCACUAUUGCGCCCCAGGCUCGCCUUGAAACUGACCCAAAGAAAUUUGGCGUUAGCUAUAAAUUUUGGAACGUCUCCUUUCGGGGAGACAAA